AUUGAACGCUGGCGGCAGGCCUAACACAUGCAAGUCGGACGGUAGCACAGAGGAGCUUGCUCCUCGGGUGACGAGUGGCGGACGGGUGAGUAAUGUCUGGGGAUCUGCCCGAUAGAGGGGGAUAACCACUGGAAACGGUGGCUAAUACCGCAUAACGUCGCAAGACCAAAGAGGGGGACCUUCGGGCCUCUCACUAUCGGAUGAACCCAGAUGGGGUUAGCUAGUAGGCGGGGUAACGGCCCACCUAGGCGACGAUCCCUAGCUGGUCUGAGAGGAUGACCAGCCACACGGGAACUGAGAAACGGUCCAGACUCCUACGGGAGGCAGCAGUGGGGAAUAUUGCACAAUGGGCGCAAGCCUGAUGCAGCCAUGCCGCGUGUAUGAAGAAGGCCUUCGGGUUGUAAAGUACUUUCAGCGGGGAGGAAGGCGAUGUGGUUAAUAACCGCGUCGAUUGACGUUACCCGCAGAAGAAGCACCGGCUAACUCCGUGCCAGCCGCCGCGGUAA
rnacentral:rRNA from 1 species